rnacentral:rRNA from 1 species
GUGUACACAAGAUAGAGCUCUCAUCAAGUCUUACUAAACCUUACAAUUAAAUCCACCUUCAAAAAUUUAUUGCACAAUUUUAUCCGUGUUAUUCCUUUAAAUGUAACCCACCUCUAUCUCUUUUAUAAGCUGCACCUUUACUUGAAGUCUAUGAAUUUAUCAUGAAUGAAAGUUUUCUAAAGAAACUAACUGACAACAGCGGUAUACAAACUGAUUUCAAAAAAGAGUAGGAUUAUCGUGGUUCAUCGUUUACAGGGCAGGUUCCUCUAAAUGGCUAUCUUGCCGCCAAAUCCGUUAAAUUUCAUUUAUUACUACUAAUCCAAAAUUUAUUAUUUAUAAGUA